AGUGACGAUAGCCUAGGAGAUACACCUGUACCGAUGCCGAACACAGAAGUUAAGCCCUAGAACGCCGGAAGUAGUUGGGGGUUGCCCCCUGUGAGAUAGGGAAGUCGCUUAGCU
rnacentral:rRNA from 1 species